rnacentral:sRNA from 1 species
AAAUAAAAAUCAGGAAGAGCCUGAGAGGGAGGCUCAGGCGACACUGGUGCUGACACCGCAGAAGUGCUGGUGUGGACCUGUGGGUGGCUUGGUUCGUGGAGAGGCAGCCACGGCGUCUUCCCAGGAUCGUGGCCGGCACCUGGCACCUGUACUUUGGCCGUCAGAGAUGUGCUGGCACCGUGCUACGGACGAGGGCGGUCACUCUGGCGACCCCAGCUCUCUGCCGAGGCAGCCGGGCACUGGCUUAUGACACUCAUGGACCAGGGCGGGACCCAGGAGGAAAUUAAAUGAAAUAAUACGAAAUGACCUCUCCAGCACGAGCACCCACUCCUAGUUGCCACAUUGGAGCACUCAGUUCAGCGGGGGUAUGCUGACUUCAGCAGACAAAGACUUCUGAAUAAAUAAACUGAACGCACACCUGGUACCACUCAGGACCUCCAACUGACUGAAUGCCAGGAGCUGAACAUUAAUAUGUGCAAAGAUUGGCUCUCCAACAAGAAGGAAAGCAGGGAGGAAGGGAGAUCAGUGUGUCUCCUGGAGAAGUCAUCUCAUGACAACAGAAGGGAGGUGGCUGGGCUGAGCACGGGAGACCCACCGUGCAGGGGCCUUUCAUGGGAACGGCCCACACGCAGUUUGACCCCACGCCCAGCCCUUCUGGCACCCCUGGGGUUCAAUACUGGAAGUGCCUUAUUUAACUAGACUAUCAGGGUAUCAUAGAAUUGAGCAUUGAAUUUGCUACUGUAGGAGUAUUGGUAGGAGCAGAAACUGCAAACACAUUUCAUUGUGAGGUUUUACCCUUUGUAUGAAUGAAGAGAACACUGGCAGGCUGUGAGAGGACCCUAAUAUGAGUCUCCUACGUUUGGAACCUGGGCUGUCACGUACAAGCCUGCUGCCUUACGCAGUGCGUUUUAGAAUCUUCCAGUCUGUCAUCUCAGCUCUUUUGUAACACGCUUCCCUUGUCUGCGCGGUUGAAACCGUAGGCUUGUUCAUGGUCGCAUGCUCGCAUCUUUGUUUUUAAUCUGGCUUCGAACAUGGCACAACUAAGUUGAAUAGCACAUCAAUAGGUUACUGGACAAAAGCAGAAAAACCUGUUACAGGGUAGACUGCAUUUGCAUGUGUGUACAUAUCUGGGCAUCUAUUUAUGUAUAAAUAAUAACAGAGCCGACGUGUCCUCGCCCGGGAGGGCUUCCCUGUCAGCAAUAACCGGCAUCCGUUUUGGAACCUGCGUCUGGGGCUCCAGGCGCUGCUCUUGCUGGCGUCCAUCGCCGCAUCGGACGGCCGUGCGUUUUCUCAUCUCGCGCAGUUCGAGGAGGACCCUAGAAAGCCA